AAUCUACUCGGCUCCUCUUCCACGCUGUGGAGGCUUUGUUCUUUCCUUCUUCACAAUAGAUCUUGCUGCUGCUCACUCUGUGGGUCCGCACUACAUUUAUGAGCUGUAACACUCACUGCGAAGGUCUGCAGCUUCACUUCUGAAGUCAGCAAGACCACGAACCCACCGGGAAGAAAAAACAACUCCAGACGCACCACCUUUAAGAGCUAUAACGCUCACUGCGAAGGUCUGCGGCUUCACUCCUGAAGUCAAGCGAACCCACUGGAAGGAAGAAACUCAGGAACAUCUGAAGGAACAAGCUCCAGACACACCAUCUUUAAGAACUGUAACACUCACCACGAGGGUCCGUGACUUCAUUCUUGAAGUCAGCGAGACCAAGAACCCACUGGAAGGAACAAUUCCGGACACACUGGUACAUAGAAAGUAUUCUCUUGUAUUUGUUAUUAUUAUUAUUAUUUGAUUAUAUCAAUAGUCUGUGAUCCUGACUUCUUCUUUCUCAUUUGUUGAGUUUCCAGUUCCUUCAAAUUGCCUUACUCAGG
rnacentral:lncRNA from 1 species